rnacentral:rRNA from 1 species
CGGGUGCGUAACGCGUAGGAAUCUGCCUAUUAGUGGGGGACAAUGUGGUGAAAACCACGCUAAUACCGCAUACGCCCUACGGGGGAAAGCGGGGGAUCUUCGGACCUCGCGCUAAUAGAUGAGCCUGCGUUAGAUUAGCUAGUUGGUGAGGUAAUGGCUCACCAAGGCGACGAUCUAUAGCUGGUCUGAGAGGACGAUCAGCCACACUGGGACUGAGACACGGCCCAG